UACGUAGGGGGCUAGCGUUGUCCGGAAUCAUUGGGCGUAAAGAGCGUGUAGGCGGCCCGGUAAGUCCGCUGUGAAAGUCGGGGGCUCAACCCUCGAAAGCCGGUGGAUACUGUCGGGCUAGAGUGCGGAAGAGGCGAGUGGAAUUCACGGUGUAGCAGUGAAAUGCGUAGAUAUCGUGAGGAAGACCAGUGGCGAAGGCGGGUCUCUGGACAGUUCCUGACGGCUGAGGCGCGAAGGCCAGGGGAGCAAACGGG
rnacentral:rRNA from 1 species